rnacentral:lncRNA from 1 species
GCGGAAGGUUGCCCGGGCUGGCGCCGCUGGGCAGAGCCGGUGCGACGUUUCCCUUUCCAGCUUUGUUCUUCCGGCCCUGCUGUCUGCCUCCCCGGCUGAUUGGAUUCGUUACUGCUUUGCAACGCGCACCUAACUCCAGACGGGGUCUCACUCUGUCGCCCAGGCUGGAGUGCAGUGGCACAAUCUCAGCUUGCUGUGACCUCAGCUCUCUGCGACCUCUGCUUGCUGGACUCAAGCGAUCCUCCCACCACCUCAGCCUCCUGAGUAGCUGGAACCAUCAUAUGCACCAGCACGCCUGGCUAAGCUGGAAUGCAAUAGCGUGGUCUUGGCUCACUGCAACCUCCGCCUCCCGGGUUCAAGCAAUUCUCCUGCCUCAGCCUCCUAAGUAGCUGGGACUACAGGGGCCCUCCUGCUGCUCCCUCCAUGAGGCUGGUCCUGAAGGAAUAGGCCUGUGGCUCGUCCCUCCUCCCCAUCUCGGCCCUGAGGCAAACAUACCUUCCACAGCUCUGGGAGCACCGCCUCCACCCAGGUCUCACAGGAUGGGACACAAGGAUAGGCAUUAAGCAGGACUUCCAGGGCCCGAGGGAAGUUGGCGCAGUGUUUCAGCAUCUAGGGGUCAAAAGAGGGUCUUGGGCACAUGCCUCCCCCACCCGAGGGCAGACCCAAGUCUUGCCUCACCCACAUGGCCAAUCCUAGCCUAAUCUGGGGGGCUAAGGUCUGAGUCUCUCUUCCCUUUUUUGUGCCUCUGUCUACCCCACCCUCAAGUAUGCUCCAACCUUUUGGCCCCAGUUUUCCUCUGGGGCUCUUCCCUCCCUUGGACUCUCUCUCCCAGAAUCCUCUCUCCCCCUCCCAAGCUGGGGACAGCCCCCUGGCCACUGAGGGCAGGCUUUCAGUCUCUUGGACCCUCUGUCUUCCCCAGAAGCGGAGCAGUUCCAGCCGCGGGCUCCCCCACACAGGAGCCUCCUAUGUCAGGGCCUCCCAGCGCACCUCAGGGCGCACUGGCUGCGCCCCGUAGUCCAGCAGUGCGGCGAAAAGGACUUCAGGCUCCCAGUUGGGGGAGUCCUGGACGGCCUGCAGCGCACAGUCCAUGGGCGUGUGGCCCGCCCCAUUGGGGACCUCAGCGCGGGCCCCGUAACGCAGCAGCAGCUCGGCCAGGCCCCCGCAGCCGUUGGCACAAGCGUUGUGCAGCGGCGUGUGGCGCUUGCGCCCGGCCGCCCGGGCAUCAGCUCCAGCCUCCAGGAGCCGGCGCGCCGCAGCCUGGUGUCGCCUGCAGCUACCUGGGCCCUCGGCCCCAGCGCACGCCGUGUUCAGCGCAGUCUCGCCCUGGCUGGUGCGCAGGCCCACGUCGGCGCCAUGCUCCAGGUACAGAGCCACAUGUUGCUCCAGGCCGCGCGCCGCCGCCACGUGCAGGGGCGUCUCCUGGCUCUCGCCUGCUGCCAGGUUCACCGUCGCUCCUGCUUCCAGCAGCAACUUGGCGCACCUGGGGACAAGAGAGCAAGGUCCUGAGGAAAAUCCUGAAGGCUUGGGACCCCUUCAGCUUGCUGUGACACUCCCUUGCCUUUCCACCCCUCUCAGCUUGAGGUCCUACCUGGUGUCCUCCAUGAGAAUCAUACAAGCCCCGCUACAGACAACAGAAUUGGAAGGUCCUGAGAGCUACCAGAAGCAUCUUCAGUUUUCAUAUGAAAAACUUAAGCCCAGGAGUGAUUUGUGCAGCCAAGGACACACAGCAAGUUAGUGGCUGCACCAGAAAUAGUACUCACUGCCUCAGACAGUCCCUCCCACAGUCUACUCUGUCUCCACCCCAAGGUCUGGUUCUGAAUCAUUCAGUUGUCAGUUGUCUCCUUUUUUUUUUUUUUUUUUGGAGACAGGGUCUCUCUCUGUGGCCCAGGCUGAAGUGCAGUGGUGUGAUUACAGCUCAUGUAGCCUGGACCUCCCAAGCUCAAGCAAUCCUCCUGCCUCUGCCUCCCAAGUAGCUGGGACCACAGGUGGGCAGCACCACACCUGGCUAAUUUUUUAAAUUUUUUUUUAUAGAGACAGGGUCUUACCAUUUGCCCCAGCUGGUCUCAAACCCCUGGGCUCAAGCAAGCCUCCUGCCUUGGCCUCCCAAAGUGCUGGGAUUACAGGUGUGAGCCACCACACCCGGCCUUAUCUCCUAACAUUUUGAUAGCACAAAAUUUUGAAAACCCACUUCUGUGUACGUUAUGAAGCAUAGAAAAUUAAACAGUAUGCACCAAAAAAAAAUAAA